UCUUUUUUCUACAACUUUUGGAUCUGCUAUUUGCAGUUGCUCUGAAAUUUUUGUCUAUUGAAUUAGAAGUUGCUCUCUGGUUUCAAGACUCUUCCUUCCUUUCCUUUGCUAAAAUUUGGUCUAAUUAAAAAAACAGUAGAUCAUAGUUAAAUAAAACUGUACCCAGGAUAACCCUAAUUUCCAUAUGCAGAUUUAUCUACACUGACAGCCACCCCCCUUACACACACACACUCUCUUUCUCAUUCUCCUUUCCCUCCUCUCCAUCUCCCUAUUGCAUUGUGUCUGACUGAUUUUCAGAGCACCUUCGCUGUUUCCCCCUUCUCGUUCCCUUCCCAUAAAAUAUCUAGACAGGAAGGAGGUGGCUGCAGAGGCUGAACAAUCUCAUAUUCUGCCUGCAAUGUCAUCGUUUCUUUCCCCCAUUUUAGGGGGAUGAAGUUGCCCAGCAAGGGUUGCAGAGAAGCUGGAAAGGAAGGGGGGAGCUCUCCAGAGGCAGCUGCGGUCAGGGGCAGGGACUGCCGCCAGAUGUGCCUGCCUUUCUGAGCUUUGAUGGGAAAGGGGCAGCAGGAGGAAAUAUUGGGAGACAAAAGCCCCGGUUUAAAUGAUCAUUUUCUUUAUUUAACAUGGCAGCAGACACUCUCUGCGUAGGAUCAUCAUGCCGAGCAUAAACUGGACUUUCCCACUUGCCUGGCAGGAGUCAGACAGAUCCCUGUGUGCUAAAUGAGCAUCUGAGGUUUGAGAUGGGGCCCAAGACGCUUUUCGGACAAGUUUCCUGGUGAUGCAAUAUCGAUGUUUGAGAAACCUCCAUUUGCCUGACUAUGGGAGAUAGAACUCGUUUGACUCUGACUUCUCCUUGAGAAAUAGUGACAACAAAAAGACACUACUUCCCUCUGAAUCAGUCCAGAUGUCCUUGGCGUGUACACCCUGUGGAAUCUGGUUCAUCUCCAAUCUGUCAGAAGGCAUCAGAGGUGGUUUUGACUUCUUAUGUCUUGGACCUAUGCACAAAAAGUACCUUGUGUGGAGGAAAAUGAGAUCCUGAGUGAAGUCUACAAUGUCAUUGACUCUGAAGAAGGACUCAGAGACCCAUUGGUGUUUAAUGACCCUUACUGGCCUAUGCAAUGGAAACUGCUGCAGUCAUGUCAUUGAUACAACUUCUGAUCCACACCUCAUGCUCCUUCUUUUCAAAGAAGCCACCCAGUUGUUACCUACUUCAGGUUGAAAGUCACAUUUGAUGGCAAGAUGAUCCUGUACCCAACUAGGAGAGCUUCUGCAGCUCUCAUGAGUUGAUCCUGUUCCCCUCAACUGAACAGAAAGGUAUGUUGUUGCAUCAUUGAUAAAGCAACAGAAUUUCAUAGCACCUUGGUUCAGGAUCUGUGUGUAAGUUAAAGGUGAUGGAGAUAUCACCAAAGAGAUUAAAAACAAAAGCCUCAUCAAUAGUCUAUAAUGGCUUGCCUUACAAAAUUAAGGCAAAAUCAAUAAGUAUUAAUGUCAGACUUCUAUAUCUUUGUGAAAUUGUCUAAAAAUGGCUGGGUGUUUUCCUAUUUAGUUUAAUUCAGCAAACUCCUUUACUAUGAAUAACUAUUAAUAUUACCAAAUCAAUUCAAGAAACCCUUACAGAUACUUGCUUUAAAAACUACUUUUGCAGAAAAUAGUUUUUACUUAACAAAGAUUUCUCUCAUACCCUACAGUAGCAAUUAUUUAACAUGCUAGAUAGUUCCUUAAAAUUGACUUUGGCUCUUCUUUUUAAAGAGAGUAUUACUACAUCAUUCAGGUAGGAAGAAUGUGAUUAAGGGGAAAAUAUUUCAGAAGUUAUUGAUUUUUAUAUAAUAAUUAAAACUAAGUGCUCACCAAUAGAAUAAUACUAUAAGUAGAUAGACCAAAAAUCUGUUUGCUAGAAAGAACCUAGAUUUAUUCCUAUUGUGAGAGAGUGGUCAACAGGGACCCCUUUUAUUCACAAAGGUUUGCAUUUGGAUGAUAAACCUAUAAACCAAAGUAAUGGAUUUCUAAAUCAGGUUGUCCCAUAUUCAGAGUAUGUCAGAGUGGGAUAUUACUUGGCAGUAUGUUGCCAUUUGUUCUGCAGAGGGAGACACUGAGGAACAGGAUUUCAUUCUGAAAAGAAUCUAAGACUCAAACCUAAAUAUUCAGAUAACUCUUCUGUGUCUUUUCCAGUAAAAGACUUUUAAACUUUUCAUUAAAAAAAUAUAAGGUCCACUUGCAUGGUGACUUUUUUUAUUUAAUCAUUUAUUUUUAUCUCCAAUAGUUUGUUCUAAAUAAAAUCAAAAUAUCAAGUUAAUUCAUUACAAAAUUUUUAAUCACCUGAAUUGAUAAAAUUAAGAAUGAUCUAGUAAUCACAUUAACUAAUAAGUUCAUUCUCACAUCAACCUUCUGAGUUAGGUAGUAACAUUUUAUAGACAAGGAAACAGAUCUGGAGAGGUGGAGUAUGUUAAGAUGACACACAAAGAAGAAGUUGGGGAUAGACUCAAUAUGCAAAGAUGGCUGGAUGCAAGAGCUUCCAGGAUGUACUGACUUAUGUAAGCACAACCUUGACAUAAACUUUAAAGCCUAAGAUAUGCUGUUUAUUUUGAUCUCAUUCUAGAAAUAUGUUUGAUGCCAAAAUAGGUUCCUAUGGACAGAAAAUGACCAAACUGUUUAAUAGUAACUCCUAUGUUUUUAAUGUUUUUCAUUGACGUUUUAUUGUUCCAUUUUAUGUUCCUCAUUCUUUUUUAAACAUGGAUGGAUUUAAAUAAUUCACAGAACAAUAAGUCAUGUUCCUGCAGAGUGAUCAAUUAGCACACUUGAUAAACACACUGGGAAUUCAGACAUAAGAUAGCCAGCCUUGGAGUAUUCUUUAUUAGAGAGUGAAAAACAUUUAAUGGAUCAACCUGUACAUCUUCAGUGUUGUAUGAUGAAUAACAUUUAAGCAUCAUGUUUUUGAGAAUCAACUUUAGGAAAUGCAUUGAGAACCAAUUUUAGGAAUUACAUCAAAAGUAAACUUUGGAACUUACCCCAAGGCCUGAAGUUGCCCUGCAAAAGAAAAAGCUACUGAUAAAACAUGAACCAACCAAACAAACAAAAAAAUCAUUUCAUCAAUUAAUUAAUUAAAGCAUUAAUUGUCAUUGACUUCUCUUACCAUAGUUUCUCUAUUUAAAAACCUUGACAUAGAUAAUAAAUUAUGUUCCACAUCAUAAGUUUUUUAUGAGGUUUGAUAGGACACUAUAGGCAAUGGAGCAUUUUAAGUUAAGGUAAUCUUUAAUGAUUCAAGUAGAUUCCUCACUAUUUCAUAAAUUUUUACCAAAAUUUCAUGGAAAAUAAAUUAAUACUAUUUCAAGCAUAUAUGGAGUCAAAAUAUAGUUUUAGUAUUGCUAUUUUUAAUAUUCUUUUAGUGAAUGUUAAUUCAGAAGUAUCUUUUACACUUCCAAAAAGUAUACAUAUUUUUAUGGCCUAUAAGUGAAAUGCUUUCUGAUAUUAGGUGGAUACGAGUACAAGUUUCAUAGAAUUUAAAAAGCAAAGGAAUCCCUUUCUCAUUUCAGUAUUUGUGCUUUCAGAACGAUUCCUUGAUUUCACAUAAUAGCCUCUGUUGUAGGUUUUCUGAAAGGAAAUCUAUAUGUGUCGUUAAAAAACAAAAGUUUUAUUUUUCAAAAGACUAAUUAAUCCAAAGUCAAGUUUACCAAGCUCCAUAAUAUUCCUCCUUGAGCUGACUAGUCACCCGCUUUACCCAGGGGUAUAAAGAAAACAAAGUGCGGAGGGGGAAGUCUAAUUUUUUUAAAAAGACAUAUUCCCUUGUUGUGAACCAAUGUUAUCAGUGCUUCUCUCAGACUCUGGGAGUAUGUGUGUGUGUGUGUGCUUCCUGUAGGUUUUCCCCAAGGGAGUGCCAAAGCAGAAGGCAGAAAGCUGCUAAGGACAGAAUGCUCUAAAGAUCCUGCUCCACCUGAGCCCUGCUCUCUGCCACUGCUGAACUUUUAGGCACAGCAGUGAGCCCUGUGCCCUGCAAGGACCUUUCAGAUUAGGUAGGUGAGGGUCUUUGAGAAUAAAUCUUGAGCAGAUAGAAUUUGCAGCCUGCAAAUAUAACUAUCUACGUUCAUCAUCUGAAGGCUGUCAAUGUGUAUUACCAAGGAAAAAGAAGAAAACGGCUUACUCUGCAAAACUUCUGUACAGGAAAAUGUGUGAAAUGGAAGGUACUUGAAGUGAUGUGCCCAUUAUGCAUUCUGGAAUCAGGCACUAUGUGAAAAGAUACAUCUCCUGCAUGCCCUGUCCUUUCAUAAGGGUCUCAGAGUAGCCCUGAGGAUGAGAGCAUCCUUCCAACCUAUUUAUCUAAUGAGUUGGCCAUCCUAAAUAUUUACCAUAACAAUAUGGCAAGCAUUGCAAGGGUUAACUCACUGUCUAUUAGCCUUUCUCAGCACUUUCCUCUUUGUUGGGGUGAGUUUAUUUGUGUAAUCUGAAGAAUGUGUCCGCCUCUGCUCUGGACACAUUGGCUCUGGACCACACCCAGACAAGCGUGUAGAAGGGAUCUACGUUAGCUGAUACCCUGAGUGUACAGAUUUGUAGCUUAAAUGAACAUUAUUUCUGCAAAUCAUUUCAAAUGUGUUGUUUAGUUAAGUUCUCUUCCCUUUUCUUCUUUUUCUGUGGAUGUAAUGGUGUCAUUUUAUCUCCACCCAGGAACUUGUGUCAACAGCUCCCUCCUCGGACCAUUCACUAGAGUUGCAAUGUCACCGUGUCAGAACCUUGCUUUUGUUUUUGUUUUGUUUUAUUUUAAAUCUGGAAUUUUUUUACUACUGUGCAUCACCCCUUCCCUUCGAUGUCUAUUCUUAGCUAAGCUCCUACUCAUUCACACUGAGUACACACAAUCAGCAGUCCCAUGUGUCUGGAUUGGCGUAUCAAUUCCUUUCUGCUCCCCUUGGCUGGUUGGGGCUCUCUUUGUUACUGAUUUAUUACUCACUUUCUUAUGUUCCUUAAGAGCAGAACUAUCAAACUUUGUUUUCUCUAAAAUUUGAUUAUAUUAGUAAUAUGGAAGACUCAUAUUAGUGUGUGCAUAUCUUUAAUUUUUCAUUUUGUUGUCGUUUGUUUGUUUUUUAAACAUUUAGGACCAGAGUUGAGUAUUUCCUAUUAAAAACCUGUUGCAUCUAUUGGUGUAAACGCUUUAAGGCUGACCCUGAUUGUAAGAUUAUCUGAUGACAAAGUAUGGACAUGCCUCCUACACUGAACCUUUAGCAGAAUAGUUUCAAGAUUGUUUUCAUUUAUUGUCUGUUGAGUAAAGCCACAGGGAAAUGUCAAAGUAGUACUCAAUGCCAUGUUAUACUAGUUUUAAGCACAGGGUAAUUUUUAAUUUUUUAUUGUUGGUACAGCUACCAGUGUGUGUUUUUCUUUAUUCUGUCUUUACAUCAUAUAGUUUUAUUUUCUUCUUCUGUAUGUUUGUGGCCCUUUGAUUGCCAAAUCUUUUCUUGCUUUGUGAUUUGGACGAAAUGCAUUGCUUAUCUGCUAGGGUUCUCUCAUCAGGUUUUCUUUAAGCCUUGGGAUUUUUCCUCAUUUCCUUUGUCCCAAUACAUGAAUCAGAAUGGGAGUGUCUCUGCAGGAGGGGAGGGAGAGGAGACUGGGCUGAGUAGAAGAAAAAUCUGCUUUCAGAAAAGACGCUGUUUCUUGAGGGGGUCAGACCUGAGGGAAAGUAUUGAAAGUCUAGCAAACUCAAGAAUAUUUUCCUCCCUUCCCCCAGCUCCAACCCCUAACGCAGGGGUGAUUCAAUAUUGACUGUCGUGUUAUCCACUGGAGAAUUUUACUAAUAAAAUUAUAUCCCUGCUCUAUUCAGGGUAAGUUUACAUGUUGUCACAAUGAUAUACUUUAUUCUGAUUUUAUUAUUAAGCUGUCUCAGCAAUUCAUUUGAAAUAUAGUCAUCAUGUUUGAAAACUAACAAAGUUUUAAUGGAAGAUAGUGAAAUUUUUAUACAAAAUAGAUUUCUUCCAUGACAGGUUGUUAUUAGCUUGGAAUACCCAGUGACAAAUCAGGUAGUGUAAUACUAAGACAUUUAACAGCCUUUAUGGUUUUCAUGAGUACAGCUUAAAUUAUUGUCUUUUGCAUUGUAUUCUAAAUGUAGAAAUAAUAUAGAAGAUAUGUACGGUUUAUCAAGUGAUGACCAGUGGCAUAUUGCAUCUUGUUUAGAGAGUCAGCCGUCUUGUCUUAUUGGGAAUAUAUAGUUUAACAAGACACUUGCCAUCAUUUCCUUAACAGGGAUAAUAAACAGAACAAUUCUGCAUAAAAGCUCAUAUCAGCUUCUUUCAUGCCUUUUCUUUUCAGAAGGCUGCCUAAGGGUUUAAGCAAUUUACUGGUCUGACCCGCAUCCUUUCUCUGCAGUCUGCGGUUCUUUUGUUUAACAUUAGUAUGUGGGCAAACAGCAUUCUGCUCUGUUCAGAGCUUAUCAGCCCGCGUUCAGUCGACCGGAACCCCAUUCUAUGUAUCUAAGCGGGGCCACAUUUAAUACUUCACAGUGGGAGCAUCUGCAGUUUCCAAAAAUGACUUGUUUAUCAGAUAAACUCUGUCCUUACACUGACAGAUGUGGUGGAUGGUGGAUCUCCAGUAUCAUACCUCUCUAAUAUAGGCUUGUACAAAAUAUGGUAUGCUGAGGGACGGUGAGACCCACAGGCUAGAGUCAUGACAAGAAUCAUUUAUGUAGACACUCUCCAACUUCACUCAGAAUUUACUUAUAGGAUAUGAUGGGGAAGAGGCAACUCUGUUUCUCUUUUGAUAACUAAUUCUCAUGUUACUAAAGUGGUAAGUAGAAGGAAGACAUUUUCACUGUUAAUCUAACAUUUUAUGAUUUCAUUGGUAAACACUGUAAGGUAUUUUAGUGCCAGGGUCUGACAAAAGCCAGGAGCCUGAGGGGGCUGACUGAAAUGUUGAUCAUCACGAACCCAAUGGUACCAGGGUGUUAGAAAAUUAGAAGUGGUCUUAGGAGACUUAUCUGCCAUUAACCCAAGAUCAUGCUAAUCUAGUCUGUUAACUCAAGAUGAUCUUUUCUUUAAAUUUUUAUUAGAAUUUCAUGAAGUUAUUUUAAACAUAUUGAAGAACUAUAAAGCCCUGCUUCUAAUCACAAUCCCAUUUGAGAUUUUAUACUGUAGGCAUAUAGUAGUAUGCAGUUAUUUUGAAAGCAUUGCCAGUCUUUAUGAAUGUAUGUAUAUAUGCAUACUUAUGCAUAUACAUACACGUAUAAUACUUCUAAAAAUAAACAUUUGUUUAUCGAUAGAAUGUCCUAAUAUUGUAUUUGUUCUCAACAAAAUGAAUUAAAGGAUUUUUUAAAAUAUACAUUUUUGAGACUUAUUCCCAAAAGAACUCCAGUUAUGAUAGAAUAAUCUGUACCUUACCCUGACAUCUGAGUAUUUCUGAGGUAACAGCCCAAAGUGAUGUUAAGAAACACAAGUAUGAACAACCUAGUGCCUUACCAAGAGGAUCAUUGUCACAGAACAGGAGCUAAUUUAAACUGAUAUGUUUUGAUCCUUAAUGCAAUUCACAUUGCUUGUACUACUCUUAUAAUUUAGCACAUAUGUUACAUUUUUGCUCCUACCUAUAAUUACUCUUUGUAUUAAAGGAUUUUCCCCCUAAUUAUUUCACUACUAGUAUCCCCUUUCACCUCUCAGCUCUCUGCUAAUUAAAUACUUUUAAACAUGUCUUCGUUAUUAAUUGUGAAGUGUUGCCAUAAUCAUAUGAUAUAAUAAUUAUUUGGAAGACCAAUUUUUAAAUUAAUAACUUAAACUUUCAUAUUUUCAAACAGUAAUUAAGGUAAUAUGUAGACCAAAACAUAUAAUAUCAUAAAUGGCAUCUAUGAAGCCUAUGUGGUUAAAUCAUAGGCAAAGUACAACAUUAUUCUUAACAAUAUUAUAAUUAACAUAAUAUACAAAUUGGCAUAAUUCUAGAAAGCACAAUGAUAUAUUUUUGCUUCCAUCUUAAUUUCCUAUAGGAUUUAAUGCCUUCUUAAAUGUGUAAUUAAAUGUAUCCAUGUAGUGUAUGGGCAGGCUUAUCAAAGAAGCAACCAUUAAGAAAUAUAUUCAAUAUCAGACUAGAAGACAUUUGUGUGCCUUCCCUACUCUCACUAAUGUGUGCUAGCCAACUGUUCAUGCAGAAAUUGUAACUGUUAAUGAAGGUUAAAAGGAAAUUUUAAAUUAGAUGUCAUCUUUUGACUAAGGUACCUCAAGUGUUAUAUUCUGUCUAAUAUUUAUUUUCUAUCUUGCCUCUUGCUCUUAACACAACCCAGCACUUAAAGAAAUAAUAAUUAUUACGAUAGUUUUUCAAACAAAACACACUCCCACCCAUUCCUGGCCCAGCACAUUUCCUGAGUCUAACAUUUCUGAUUGCUCACUGUUUUUCCUAACACUAGAUCCCUUAUGUCAUAUGCCUUGUAUGGCUGCAGACUUUGGCCUUUUCACCUGCUGUUUUGGUUGGCUUUAGAUGCAAAGAGAAGACUAUGAAAAAGAGAAAGGGGGAGGGAGGGAAGUUUGGAAGACUGAAGCUAAAAAAAAAUGGCAAAUGUUUUUAGCGCCUUCAUCUAGACAUGUGUCCCCUCACUCUGUGACAUGGCUGCUCCAAUGUUGCCAUGGUGAGGAUUUCUAAUCAUCCCUACACAUGACAGGCUCCUAUUUGUCUGCACUCCCUUGGGUGUAAAUUUCUAGGCUUAAAAAAAAAAAAUCCAUGUGAGCGUAUCAUCCGCCGUGCAGAUGUUUCACUGCUUUAGAAUAUCAGGCAGCUGCUUGUGCCACCGUAGACAGCUAAUUGGAGACUGCAUCGUAGGAACAGAGGCGCAAUUAUGGCAUAAAUACACAUCCUCUGGUGCAUCAUUGUAUCUCUAUUAACAGAAAAUUUUAAACAGUGCUCAGAGUGUAAUUAGUGUAGUUGAUAAAGUUGUAAAACAUGUAAAUAAGGGAAAUAGCAGGUACGUGGCCAAUCCACUAUCCAGCACUAGGGGAUGCAGAUUAUUGCCUAUUUAGAAAUAAUUAGCAAAGCUGCAUUAGCAAAGCCUGUGUCCAACAGAAGCAAGGCAAACAUUUAUUCUGGUAACAGCUCUUUCUGUGCUAGCCAUGAAAAUCUACUAAUAUUGGUAAUUUAGCCCUCAUUACCAGAGGAUAAAGCAUGAAAAGAGCUCAGACAUGAAAUAUGACAAGUAAUAUUAAUUUUUAUUCCAGAGGAAAGGAUGCUUCCUUGGGUUGCAUGCUGAUUUCUCGGCAGGGUCUCAGCAGUGCGUGCGGAGGAGGCGGUGGGUAGCUGGUAGUUGAGAAUUCAGGAUACGGAGCUGACUCCCUGCUGGAGGUAUACCCUGGGGUGGCUAUGACAGUGGCUGAUGAGGCAUGCCACUGUUAGUGCCAAGCCAAACCUCAGGUCACAGUUCAAAACAAGCACUCAGCCAUUAAACUUCAGUCCUUAUGGACCUUGGAGAGUUUAUGUCCUCAUUCCUACUUUUUUCCACCCUCCCAGCCCCUUUUCUCUUACUCUCUGGCAUUUUUUUUCUCCCUUGGAAUGAUUUUGCAGAGCUAUACAAUCAGAUUGAUUUUUGUGCUUGCACCGCCCUUUUCAACGUGCUUCUGAUAAUGAGCUGCUGUUGUUGAAGUGGAGAGUGUGGGCGGGGUGGUUUCAGCUGCAUCUUAGCUAUGUCGUGUGCUCAGGAUAAGAAAUGAUCCUCUGGCUCAUAUACAUUGAAGAUUGUGUCACUGAAGAAUAUCACCUUGUGGCCGGGAAUCAUGAAUGGCAAAAAUUUGAAGCUUGUUUCACAAAUACUUUUCCUAAUGAAGAAAAAUGCAAAAGCACUGCUAGUUCCCCAAACCUCAAUUAGUUUUCCAGACAGUGGGAUAAAAAGGCAGAAUAUUUGUGGAAGAGCCACCUUUCUUGUACGAAUCUCUGGAUGUUACCUUGUUCUUUGUUUUAUUCUUAAAGCAUAACAAAUGGCAAAAAAAAUUAAGAACCAAGCCCAUGAAGCUAACCAUAUUUUGUGGCAUUUAUAUCAUUUACCAUUAUCUCCUUAUUUUUGUUACAUACAGGUACUGCUGCUUUUUACAUGCUUCUAGGAAUACAUACAUGGAGUCCACUUCCUGAAUUUUCUAAUUGAGCCUCUAGGAAAAAGUUAUUAGCCAGUAGCAAACUAAAUUUCCACUCAGGGCAGUCUGAGUUUCACAGUAUGUUCACAAUGUCACAGAACGUUGUGCCUUAAAAAAAAAAAAAGGUUGAAUAUUUUAGAACAUAACGAAAAUGGUACAUUCACAAACACAUUGAAAUAAAGAGUGUUCACCUUCUUUUUCAAAUAUGAAAAUUGAGAAUCCAGAUUCUAUCUUCAGAGGUUGUAGACAUUUACCACCUCUGGUGAGUUGUCUCCUAUCCAGGGAAUAUUGAAAAUGACAGUACUGGAGUUCGCUACUACUACAGUUUAGACCAGUGCUAACAAUGAGUUGUAAGUCACAUGCAAGUACUAAUCAAUAUUUGUAGGGCAUGGACAUGCACAAAAUGCAAAUGUGCACACUUACAUAAAUACAUGUGAUACCCCUCCAUACCCAGAACCCACACUGUGAUAUUGUACUGCAGGUUCUGAAUUAUGAGGUUGUAUUUCAUCCCUUUUGCUUCCCACUUCUGAACCAAAAGUACAACUCUGACCAGGCAUGAAAGCAUUCUUUCUUCAAUUUAGCAUACCCUCUUAUCCACAAUGAGUUGAGAUUAGAACAAUUGGAACCAGAUGACCCGAUUAAAGCUCUAGUUUUAAAAAGUUCCAGUGCCCUCAGUUUUCUCAAUUGUGAAAUUAAAACUCUCUCCCUGUCUACCUUAUAUGGUUAUUAAUAGAACCAAACAAUGCAAUACAUAUAGAAAUAUGUAGACUGUAGACUGUAGAUAUGACCAAAAUUAGUAUUUCCAUGGUUUUCUCACUAGACAGUUAUUACUAUGUCACUAUCACCUCAGAAUCACACUUGGACAUUUGCCUGUGUUUUAAAAGGAAGCACAAAUAAGCUCAGAUAACGUCAUAAAAUUUUUCUCUGAUUGUGUCUGUACAGUGCCAAAACUGCUGAUUCAUAAAUGAAAUUGCAGUCAACCAACCAGAUGUUUAUUCUACAGGAUGCCAAAUUGCCACUUUUACUUUAAUUUUUAUCCAAGAAACUUACACUAUCUGUAUGGAAAUUGUAUGAAUACUGCAUUCAUCAUUUUUAUUUGAAAUCCAUGUGAAGAAUCUCAUGUACUUUUCAUAUACCUUAAGCACGCAUAGCUUCUUGCUUAUCGGAGGUACAUUUUUCAUAUUCUGCAAAGUGAACAACACCCUGAGAGUCGCCUAGAGGAAAGUUAUGCCCAACUUGCAGAGUUUUCCCAAGGGAAUCUGCCAGAGGAGUCUACUCCUAGAGAGUCCUUGUUAAGAGAAAUCCCAUGUAGAACAAAGCUCUGAUUAGAGUUAUCGCAGUUGUUUUAACCCCUUGUAGGAAAAAAAAAAUAGUUGCAGAGAUCCCUAUUUUCCCAGUUUCCUCCAUUGGCUUCUGGUGUUUGACAAACAGUUCCCAUUUGGAGACAUUAUGCUGUUCCUCUCUACUCCAGCAUCAUGCCCACUGCCUUUACUAAGUUGGCACUGAAACAGCAACCCUUGCCAAGAUCUAUGCAAGAGCAGGAAGGACUGAAAGGGAACAUGAAGCAAAAUGAUCCCUAAUUCAAGUGAAUUGUUGUUACCUUUCUUCACAUAUUCCUUCUCCCCUCCCUUAUUGUUCUCAUCUCAAAAGAGAGGAAAUAGGUUCCAAAUCAGACCACAAAGAGGAUCUUCAGAAUCAAGUUAAAUUGGAGCACAAGGAUUGGGGCUGAUGGGAAUAUGGAUUUGCAAGGUGCCAAAGCCUGAUCUAAUUUACAUCCAUUUGCUGAUUUCCAGCCCUUUGGCAUCUUUUGAAAUGGCAUUUCAUUGUGGAGUUCUUGUAACCAUAUAUUUCAUAUAUGUUGUUUUGAGCUUUAUUCAAACAUAUAUUUUAUAUAUUUUAUUUAGAGCAGGAUGGAUGGACAGUGAAUUCUAUGUGCCAAGUAUUUAGACUAGUUUUAUAAUUUCUCUGCUGCUUCUCCGAGCAGCUUUCUCCAAAGGGGCCUGUAACUCAUAAUCACAGGGGCUGUUUGUGAAUAUAUUUCUCUGGGUCAGAAAUUUUGCCAGCACUGACAGGCACCCCGGACAGCUUUUCAGAAAUCUCCUGGUUAUUACUCAUCCAUUAGAAAGAAAAAAAUGAUAUUUUGCAUCAGGAGUUGUUUCUCUCCCCCUCUCUCUUUCUUUUAAAUUAUAGAAAUAAAGUGCCCAUUGUAAAUCGUUCAUGCUGGUGGACAAUAUUGCAUGCAGAUCAGGCACACAGCCCAUUGGAUGGGAAUGGUAUGGGGGUGGGGGAAGUCUUUGUGAAUGAGUAGGCAUGAGAGGGAUACUGAAAUGUUUUAGUCAGGUCAAAAAUAGCUCAUUAGUGGGUAGGAAAGCUAGCUGCUCAUCCUUUAGGGUGGAAAAAGCCUAACUCAUUUACUUCAGGAGUUUCUUAUUAAGUUGUUUUAGUCUUAAUGAUAAAAACUUACAUUUCUUCUUCAUAUAUUUGCAUUUACUGUAAUGCAGCUUAAUGGCUAAACAGAUCUUGAAAAUAACAAUAAUUAUAAUAGUUGAUAUCCCAAAUGAGAUUAAAAAUUUUUUUUCUCUGAACUUGAAAAGUAGAGUUUGGAAUAGCUAGAAUUCAAACACAAUGAUAAAAAAAAAAAGUGAGUAUUUAUUCUCAGUGUUCUUAAUAUUAGGGAGAAGUUAAAGUUUCUUCUUGGAAAUAUGAAAUUAACUUUAGCUUUAACAUUAGGGCUCCCUCUUUCCAACCCUCUCUCCCCUCACCCCCUUCCAUAAUGACAAUGGUUGGGAAAACACAGGACAAAGAAGAUUAAAUCAGAAUGUCAAGUUUCUUCCCAAGAAAUUUACCAGAGAACAAUAGGAGAUCUGAUAGUAGAAGAGCAAAAGAUAAUUCUGUAAUCACAAUGAUUUUCGAGAACAAAACUCCUUCUGAUAAAUUUAUUUUGAAAGAAUAAUCAGAUGUCUCCUAGAAUUGCAAAUAUUGUCGAAUCCAUCAGAGACAGAAAAAAACUUUUAAAAGUCCUCAAUUCCCUAUGUAUAGAUGAAAAAAUAUGCAAAUGUGGAAGAAAGCUGAAUAACACAUAAAAGUAAUAGAAGGCAGGUAAAAUAACAACAUGUAUCAUGUGAAAGGCCAUAUGUUCAUUUUAUGUUUCUCUCGUCUUCAUCUUUAUUUUUUCUGAGUUCAUUAAAUAAGCUUUUUUCCCCCCUUGUCAAAAGUUGGUCCAAUAAAGAGCAUUCUUUAAAGUUCUAGUUUAUUAUCAAAACCUCAAAGUGAAGUACUUUUGGUUGUUCUGGGUACAUCUGGUUGGUAAAAAUGAUAACUGAAUUGUUCAACGUCAAGCAAAGGGUUGUUGCUUGAUGACUGCAUGCUUCUGAUCAAAAUUUAUUAUCAUACAUUUAUUGGGCAUUGAUUUGGUACCAGGCACAAUUCAAAGCCCACAAGUAAUGAAUUGAUGAAAUAAGCUGCUCAGAGAGCCAGAACACA